rnacentral:lncRNA from 1 species
GGCCCUGCGGGGUCUCGCACAGGCUCCAGGGCCCUUGGGGUCCCGGAGGGUCCAGCAGAAGGGUCUGUGUUUUGCCCGGGGUCCUGAGAGCGUGCUGGGGAUAGCAGGGGUGGAGUGCAGGUGUGCCCAUGGGCGCCCCGGGUCCAGGGCCCGCGGAGCCGCUCUCGGGGCGGAGACCUUGCCCCCAGGGGCACGUCAGCGGUCCUGAGGUGAGGCUCCUGCAGAGCACUCUGGGCCGCGUGUGUCUCUCCCUGCGUGGGCAGGCAGUGUCGGUGGCCGGAGCGAGGGUGUUUUCCCAUCGGGGUGAGAGGGAGAGCCCCAGGGUGGGCCUGGGGCGGAAUCGGACUCGGGGUUGGGGUGGACUCUUCUGAAGCUGGGAGGGGUGCGGGUGGGCAGGGCCUUAGGGAGCCUGAGGGAGGUGCGGUUCCUGGGGGAAGGGUGUGGCGCCCCAGCGAAGGGGCAGUGCUGGCCACUCCGUGUGGCGCUUUGGCUGCUGGCACCCAGUGAGAGGGGGGAGGCCAGGGACAGGUGGCAGCCAGGCUGCCCACAGGCCCUGGGCGGUGGGGGCCGGCCCUGUGCCUUGGCAACUGGGCCCCUUGCUGAGGCGUGCUUGCGCGUGUCCGUUGUCGCCCUCACCCAGCUGCUGCGGCGGAGAAACGGAGGCCAGCGCGGGGAGCGGAAGCUGGAGCCUGUCGGGAGCGACCCCGGGAAGGCCAGUCCCUCCUGCCGGUGGGAGGCGUGUUGGCGUGCGGCCGGUGGCGGGAUCGAUGGCCACCUGGUAGGCGAUGCUGCUGCGGCGGAGAAACGGAGGCCAGCGCGGGGAGCGGAAGCCGGAGCCUGUCGGGAGCGACCCCGGGAAGGCCAGUCCCUCCUGCCGGAGGGAGGCGUGUUGGCGUGCGGCCGGUGGCGGGAUCGAUGGCCACCUGGUAGGCGAUGGUAAGCGGCAGUGGCCUGCGCCAAGGUAGCCCCCGGGGGCGGUGUGUGGCGCCCGGACCCGCACCCUCUGCUCCCGGGGGUGGAGCUGACCUGCUUGCCCGCGGUUGGGCUCGGGAGCCUGCGGCCGCGGCCAGGAGGGAGCUGGCUGGCCGUCCCGGCGGUGGGGGCUGUGGCGGUGGCCGUCCCGCGGGUGUGCCCGUGCUCGGAUCGAUGAUGACACCCACAAACGCAUU